rnacentral:rRNA from 1 species
UACAGAGGUCUCAAGCGUUGUUCGGAUUCAUUGGGCGUAAAGGGUGUGUAGGUGGCGCGCUAAGUCGGGUGUGAAAUUUCGGAGCUUAACUCCGAAACUGCAUUCGAUACUGCCGUGCUUGAGGACUGGAGAGGAGACUGGAAUUUACGGUGUAGCGGUGAAAUGCGUAGAUAUCGUAAGGAAGACCAGUGGCGAAGGCGGGUCUCUGGACAGUUCCUGACGCUGAGGCACGAAGGUCAGGGGAGCAAACGGGG